GGGCCGGUAGAUCAACGGCAGAUCGCUUCGUUCGCAACGAAGAGGCUCUGGGUUCAAAUCCCAGCCGGUCCA
rnacentral:tRNA from 1 species